GGGGCCGUGGUCUAGCGGUUAUGACGCCGCCCUUACACGGCGGAGGUCGCCGGUUCAAAUCCGGCCGGCCCCA
rnacentral:tRNA from 1 species